CUGAUCCAGCAACGCCGCGUGAGGGAUGACGGCCUUCGGGUUGUAAACCUCUUUCAGCAGGGACGAAGCUAACGUGACGGUACCUACAAAACAAGGACCGGCCAACUACAUGCCCCCAGCCGCGGUGAUACGUAGGGUGCUUGCGUUGAAUUGAUUGGCGGGAGGAAAGAGAUGCGGGCGGUCUGUCGCGUCUGAAGUGAAAAGGCUCGGCUCAACCCCGGGCCUGCUUACUGUACGGGCAGACUAGAGUGUAUGAGGGGAGAAUGGAAUUCCUGGUGUAGCGGUGAAAUGCGCAGAUAUCAAGAGGAACACCGGUGGCGAAGGCGGUUCUCUGGGCAUUACCUGACGCUCAGGAGCGAAAGCGUGGGGAGCGAACAGGAUUAGAUACCCUGGUAGUCCACACCGUAUACGUUGGGCGCUAGGUGUGGGGGUCAUUCCACGGGUUCCGUGCCGCAGCUAACGCAUUAAGCGCCCCGCCUGGGGAGUACGGCCGCAAGGCUAAAACUCAUAGGAAUUGACGG
rnacentral:rRNA from 1 species